rnacentral:rRNA from 1 species
ACCCUCCUAAUAGCUAGCCCCCCUCCCAAAAACAACAAACACCAUUAAUAAACCCUUAUAAACCACCCAAACAAACAACAAACCAUUUUUCCCCCCUAGUAUGGGCGACAGAAAAG